rnacentral:rRNA from 1 species
CAGCAGCCACGGUAAUACGAAGGGGGCUAGCGUUGUUCGGAACUACUGGGCGUAAAGGGCGCGUAGGCGGCCAUUCAAGUUAGAUGUGAAAGCCCUGGGCUCAACCUAGGAAUUGCAUUUGAUACUGUUUGGCUUGAGUUCGGGAGAGGUGAGUGGAAUUCCCAGUGUAGAGGUGAAAUUCGUAGAUAUUGGGAAGAACACCAGUGGCGAAGGCGGCUCACUGGACCGACACUGACGCUGAGGCGCGAAAGCGUGGGGAGCAAACAGGAUUAGAUACCCCUGUAGUCCCUGUCUCUUAUAC